AGCGAACGCUGGCGGCAGGCCUAACACAUGCAAGUCGAGCGGACGUAGCAAUACGUCAGCGGCAGACGGGAGAGUAACACGUGGGAACGUACCCUUUGGUUCGGAACAACCCAGGGAAACUUGGGCUAAUACCGGAUAAGCCCUCACGGGGAAAGAUUUAUCGCCGAAGGAUCGGCCCGCGCCUGAUUAGCUAGUUGGUGGGGUAAUGGCCCACCAAGGCGACGAUCAGUAGCUGGUCUGAGAGGAUGAUCAGCCUCACUGGGACUGAGACACGGCCCGGACUCCUACGGGAGGCAGCAGUGGGGAAUAUUGGACAAUGGGCGCAAGCCUGAUCCAGCCAUGCCGCGUGGGUGAUGAGGGCCCUAGGGUUGUAAAGCCCUUUCGGCAGGGAAGAUAAUGACGGUACCCGCAGAAGAAGCCCCGGCUAACUUCGUGCCAGCAGCCGCAGUAA
rnacentral:rRNA from 1 species